GCAUAACGCGAAGAACCUUACCUACACUUGACAUGCCUCUUUUGGUUUUCAGAGAUGAUUACCUUCGGUUCGGCCGGGGAGGUGCACAGGUGGCUGCAUGGCGUGUCGUCAGCUCGUGUCGUGAGAUGUUGGGUUAAGUCCCGCCAACGAGCGCAACCCUACUUGUAUGUUGUCCACUCAUUAAGUUAGGGUCGACUCAUGCGAGACUGCCGGUGUUAAGACCGGACGGAAGGUAGGGAGUGACGUCAAGUCAUCAUGGCCUUACGUGUAGGGCUUGAAACGUGCUACAAUGGCGGUAACAGUGAGCAGCGACGUCGCAAGGCGAAGCUAAUCUCUAAAUGCCGUCUCAGUUCGGAUUGUCCUCUGCAACUCGAGGGCAUGAAGUUGGAAUCGCUAGUAAUCGCACAUCAGCAUGGUGCGGUGAAUACGUUCCCGGGUCUGUAC
rnacentral:rRNA from 1 species